ACCUUCCUUGUCUUGGGGUGUCUUGGGCUAUUCAAUGAACGUAUAGUGAGAAUAUCCUGCUAACACCAUUAACCAACACAUUACGCAUCACCUGAGCGUUAAGCUUAGGCUAUGGUGCAAUUUUUGGAACC
ensembl:snRNA